CUUCAGCGACCCCAGCCAGACCGGCCGGUCUCGGUCCUGCCCGUAGGUGGACAGCAGGGCCUGGGCCUC
rnacentral:antisense_RNA from 1 species